GGUUCGAGUAAUUAAUGAAACAAAUUGGCAGAAACGGAUGACUGCCUGAAUAACUAGUCGAUGCUGGCAGAGGAGCGCCUGGAGACUAAGGUUUUAAAUGAUUGAAGCAAGUUGGCAAAAUGGGCGACUACCCAAAAGAAGCGCCUUGUCCAAAUGGGCAGGAAACAAAGGUUGCUGGAAGAGGGUGCUCGGCCUACGCGAUGAAUCCAAGAGAUUAUCUGAAGGCCUGAAGCAGAUCUGUAAAUUACCUGGAAGAUAAGGUUCGAGUAAUUAAUGAAACAAAUUGGCAGAAACGGAUGACUGCCUGAAUAACUAGUCGAUGCUGGCAAAGGAACGCCUGGAGACUAAGGUUUUAAAUGAUUGAAGCAAGUUGGCAAAAUGGGCGACUACCCAAAAGAAGCGCCUUGUCCAAAUGGGCAGGAAACAAAGGUUGCGUGGAAGAGGGUGCUCGGCCUACGCAAUGAAUCCAAGAGAUUAUCUGAAGGCCUGAAGCAGAUCUGUAAAUUACCUGGAAGAUAAGGUUCGAGUAAUUAAUGAAACAAAUUGGCAGAAACGGAUGACUGCCUGAAUAACUAAUCGAUGCUGGCAGAGGAACACCUGGAGACUAAGAGUCUACAGGCAUUUAUUUAUUGGCAAAUUUCAAAGUGAUGGACCGUGAAUUGAAAGAUGGUUUUCUCCACUGUGGCAUGGAAAGAAUGGUGUGGGGGAAGGGACUUGUUUGCAAGGUGUAUAGCAGAUGGAAGUGAUUAAAGGGCUGGACUGCAGUAGGGUACUGAGUUGGAUAAAUGGCUUCUUCCAUGACCAGAAAAAUGCAAGUAUGUGGAGCAAACAGGAGGUGCUAUAGACGGAGUUGCCCUACCCCACCUCCCCUUAUUCCACAGGGCAGUGCACCAAAUGAGGGAAUGCUAGGACGGAUACCCCUUUUUGGUACAUGCCACAUUUUGCAAAAGUUCCUUUUUUGGUUGCAGUGAACCUCCUGCAAUUGAUAUCUUGGUGUGUAGACCUGUAAUAAAAGUAUCGUGUUUUUCUGCAUGAUAUGAUUAUUCCAAGGUGUGCCUGCUGCUUUUUGUCAAUAAAACCUUGUGUGUUA